GUGGGGAAUAUUGGACAAUGGGGGCAACCCUGAUCCAGCAAUGCCGCGUGUGUGAAGAAGGCCUGCGGGUUGUAAAGCACUUUCGAUGGGAAAGAAAAGCUCAGGGCUAAUAUCCCUGAGUCUUGACGUUACCCAGAGAAGAAGCACCGGCUAACUCUGUGCCAGCAGCCGCGGUAAUACAGAGGGUGCAAGCGUUAAUCGGAAUUACUGGGCGUAAAGCGCGCGUAGGCGGUUUGAUAAGUCGGAUGUGAAAUCCCCGGGCUUAACCUGGGAACUGCAUUCGAUACUGUCUGACUAGAGUUUGGUAGAGGGAAGUGGAAUUCCAGGUGUAGCGGUGAAAUGCGUAGAUAUCUGGAGGAACAUCAGUGGCGAAGGCGACUUCCUGGACCAAAACUGACGCUGAGGUGCGAAAGCGUGGGGAGCAAACAGGAUUAGAAACCCGAGUAGUCC
rnacentral:rRNA from 1 species